rnacentral:ncRNA from 1 species
CUGGCCUUACUAUUAAUUUAAAUUAUAUUUACACAUGCAAGUCUCAGCACCCCUGUGAAAAUGCCCUUAUUUACCUAUUAGUAAAUAAGGAGCGGAUAUCAGGCACAAUUUAUGCCCAUAACAUCUUGCCAAGCCACACCUCUACAGGAAUUCAGCAGUGAUAAACAUUGAAAAAUAAGCGUCAAUAAGCUUGAAUCAGUAAUAAUUCUAAGAGUUGGUAAAUUUCGUGCCAGCCACCGCGGUUAUACGAGAAACUCAAAUUAAUAAAAACGGCCUAAAGCGUGAUUAAAUUAUAUUAAAAUAAAUAGAAAUAAAAAUUAACUCGACUGUUAUACGUAUAUGUUAAACGGUGAAACCAAAAACGAAAGAUAUUUUAACAAAUAAAUUACUUGAACCCACGAAAGCUAAGAAACAAACUAGGAUUAGAUACCCUACUAUGCUCAGCCUUAAACUUUGGAACAACCCGCCUGAGUACUACGAGCCACAGCUUAAAACUCAAAGGACUUGGCGGUGCUCUACACCCCCCUAGAGGAGCCUGUUCUAUAAUUGAUACCCCCCGCUAAACCUCACCACUUAUUGCCAAUACCGCUUAUAUACCGCCGUCGUCAGCUCACCAUUUAAAUGAAAAAUAGUAGGCAUAAUGAUAAACAUAAAAACGUCAGGUCAAGGUGUAGCGAAUUAGGUGGAAAGAAAUGGGCUACAUUUUCUAAACUAGAAAAUACGAAAAAUUUUAUGAAAAACUAUUUAAAGGUGGAUUUAGCAGUAAAAAGAAAAUAGAGUGUUCUUUUUAAAUAGGCCAUAGAGCGCGCACACACCGCCCGUCACCCUCCUCAGAAAAAC